AUGCAGCCACAUAGCAUGUCUGGCCUCUGUGGAUCGUCCACACGAAGCUCCCGGUCUGAUCGACUCCUCACGAGUGCUAGCUCAUUGUAGAGCCCUUUUGACGAUCGAUGCUGAUCGAACUCCUUCGAUCGAUGUCUGUCGAUUCUUUGGAUGCUCCAGAUCAUCAAUAGAUAUACUUGAGAGGAUGUUGAAGAUCUUCCUGAGAUUUUGUGGGCUCACGACACUCGUAGCUCACUUUCUCACUUCCCGAACCCCAGGCUAAAACUCUAGGAAACUCACCGAAAACCUUGCACCCACUUUUCUUUCUUUUCUUUCUUUUUUUCUUGGAAGGAUAUGGACUUCCUUCUCAUGCACAAGACUUCUCACACCCCAAAAUUUUUCUCUAAAAAUCUUCUUAUUGCACACCCCACUUUUCUCCUUUUAUAACAACGUCAAACGUCUUAUCCAAAAGAAAGGAUAAAGAUGAGUAAUUGCACAUUUGAAUUCAAAUCAAAUUUUGAAUUCAAAUGGACACCAACUCAUCCCUUAUCCACUAAAGGCGUGAGGCGUGGCUUAAAUUGUGCAUGAAGUGAUUUCAUGAGAAACCUUUUCUCAUGUAAUAAAUGGGGCAUAAAAAAAGAGAUAAGGUGCAAAGAUUGAUUGCCCAUUCAAAUUCAAACUUUAUUUUGAAUUUGAAUGGCCAACCAAUCAUCCUUAUCCAUUUAUAUGGCACAUUAAAGUGGGGCAUGGAGAGGGCUUGGCAUGAGAAAAUAAUUCAUGAGAAGUUCCUUCUCAUGAAUUCAAAUGGGUGCAAUGGAAGUGAGGUGGCGCAUGGAGAUUGGGUCAAAGUGGUUUAAUUAUUUAAACCAACCUAAUUGAACCAAAUAAGUUAGGUCCAAUUAGACUAAUUUAAACCCAACUUAAUUAGGCUUAAUUAGGCUCAAUAAAAUUCUAAUCAAAUCAGGAAUUGACUAAGCCCAACCCCUGAUCAAAUCAGGGACCAAACCAUCUUGACGAUUAGGUCAACUCUUAACCUAAUCGGGUCAACCCAACUGAAUCCAAUUCAAUUGGACUUGAUCCAAAAAUAAUUACUCAAUCAAAUUGAGUUAAUUAGUGAUCAAAUUACUAAUUAAACCUCUCAUAAAUACUGAAUCCAAAUCCGAUGGGCAAUCGAGCAUCAGAAUUCAUCGAUAUGUAAUCCUGAUCGAAAAGUCCCAACCAGUGGGACUCUUGAUCCUGGUACCCAUAAUGUGUGGAACUCAUGAUCAGAGAAUCUUGAUUCUCAAUCACUGAGUCCCAAACAUGUAGGAUUCUACAUCAGCCAUCAGAUCAGAUAGGAACCUCUAAUGUGUGUGACCCCGUAGGUUCGAACCUAAGCCGGUAGCACAGGAACCAAUUCCUGUACUAAUCGAAGUGACCAUUUAGUAAUGGUACCCGAUAUCUGGAUAGGUCGAAGAGUUAUAAUCGCAACACUCAGAACCUACAUGAAUAUGGUUACUGUAUAAUUCAUCCUUUUGACCCCUGUGUUUAGGAUGACUCAGGGUUAAACUGUCAACCCUGAUCAGAUCAUUCGAAUCGUGCUCAACUCAAACAGUCCUGUGACUCCUCACAAGGACUACCCUGGCCAAGGUUUUGCUAAAUUGAAACAUGACUGUACACAGCUCCUAAACUGGAGUGGUCAAUCCCAUCUUGACACACGCACCGAUAAAUCAAGUACUUGACUACACCCAGCAGCCUUCCGUCAUUGAAUUAGAAAUUCAGAUAGUCCAGUGCCUAAGUGCAGUGAGUUGCUUGCAAGUCACCGUGGUGGUCUCAGGUCGGAGGGAUAUUUAUACCCAUAUUCCAUCGGAGCAAAUCUUGACAGCAAAAAUAGCUCCAGAGUCGGUCACGUUCAGUACAGAUGUACCCUUACAUCUCACCUGUAUGCCAUACCAGUGUCUCCACACUCAUUGGUCAAGAGGACAACCAACCUAUAUGGCACACAACGACCUAUGCUUGAUAAACGUUGUCGUCCUUGGUAACAACGUAUCAUUUGAUCGCGAACAGAUUUAAGGACUAAAUGACAAAUCUUCCUUU
rnacentral:lncRNA from 1 species